CCCUGCGGCCCAGGGGCCGCUAUUGGGGGGGCGGGUGGGGAGAGGUGGGGAAGAGAGGGGGAGGGAGGAGAGGAGGAAGAGCGCCGCAGCCUCGGCAGCUGGAGUCGGAGCGGGGGGGGAUGGUUUCAAAAAAUAAUUAAAAAUCGAGGAAAUAUCCUAGAAAAGCCCUUUUGGCGUGAAAACCCCAAAGAGGAGCCAGGCUUCCCGACACAGAGGUUUCGGGUGCCAGAAAGGUCUGGAUUCCGACCCCUGGGGCUCUGGAUCCCGGGAGGAAACUUGAAGGGGUGAGCGCCGCGGCGGGAGUGUCCGGCUGCGGCCCACAAGGACAGAAACUAGGGAACGUGGUGACGAGCUAGGGGAAAGACGGGAGCAGGGAGCCCUGGAAACAGGCACGGGGGGCUCCAACCUCUCCUUUAGGGGUGACCCGCUAUCCCCCCUACACACACCCCCUCCCCCCCUUCUUACCCCACCCAAAUCUCCGCACCGAGGAAGCUGGAAAACCAAACUUGGCUGGGCCAGGAACAGUAAGAGGCAUGAGGAUCACCCAGCGUGGAGACCGCUCUGGAGGAGGCUGCAGACUGGAGGCGCUGUUGUAGCCAGCUGCAUUUUGGAGGAGAAUCUACCAUAAAACCGACAGACUCUUCCUGAUCUCUACCUGUGCUGUCUGCCUCUCUAGCUCUGGACACUGAGAGCUGGUGCCCUGUGGCCACCGCAAGCUGGAACCCUGAAGAUCACCAAGAAGACUGCAUGCCUCGCUCUAGCCUUCCUAAGGGAAAGUAGACUCCUGUUUUUGAGAGAAAUUACCUGAUUUCAAGAGAAACAUAAAGGACUUUUUUUUCCUUAACAUUCCACUCGUAAAAAUGAAGUUUGGAAGAACUUCUGCAAACUCUGAGUGUUUUGGUCAAUUGACCUUUUACGGUACUAAGCAGAUCUGAAGCCACAAAUACACUGGGGAGGAAGGUAUACCCUUCACAAAAGAUUUGUCACUUAGCCAGAUACUCUGUUGCCAUGCUUCUUUAAAUAAAGAACAUUUCUGGUA